rnacentral:rRNA from 1 species
AACGAACGCUGGCGGCAUGCCUAACACAUGCAAGUCGAACGAUUGCCUUCGGGUGAUAGUGGCGCACGGGUGCGUAACGCGUGGGAAUCUGCCCUUAGGUUCGGAAUAACAGCUGGAAACGGCUGCUAAUACCGGAUGAUAUCGCGAGAUCAAAGAUUUAUCGCCUGAGGAUGAGCCCGCGUUGGAUUAGGUAGUUGGUGGGGUAAAGGCCUACCAAGCCGACGAUCCAUAGCUGGUCUGAGAGGAUGAUCAGCCACACUGGGACUGAGACACGGCCCAGAAUCCUACGGGAGGCAGCAGUGGGGGAUAUUGGACAAUGGGGGCAAGGCUUAUCCCGCAAUGCCGCGUGAGGGAUGAAGGCCCUAGGGUUGUAAAGCUCUUUUACCCGGGAAGAUAAUGACUGUACCGGGAGAAUAAGCCCCGGCUAACUCCGUG